rnacentral:rRNA from 1 species
GUUCUUAAAAUUAAAGAGGGGUUAAAACAAAUUGUAUUGUGUGUAAAUCUGUAGUCGAUUGGUUAGUACACACUAAAGCUUUGAAGAUAAUGAAAGUUAUCUAUUUGAUACACAUUAAGAUUGUGCCAGCGGUGGCGGUUAUACAGUCUGUGGGUUUUAGCUUGGUGGUUUUAGUGGUAACAUUUUAGUUAAGAGGUGAAAUUUGUAAAUUAAAAUUAAAAACUUGAAAUUUAGUUUCUAAAAACAGGAUUAGAUACCCUGGUAUGGCUAAUAAAUUUACUACAGGGGGUCAAAUUUAACAAAUAUGGCGGUCAAAUUUUAAUAGGGGGGCCUAAGAUAAAGAUAGCAAACUAGGUAUUGAAUUGACUUAUUUCUUCUUGUGUGAUCGCCCAAGUCUGGUAUGGUUUGGGGUAGAUAAACAUAGGGGGUGGUUGAUUUUCUUGGGGUUUUGUUUUGUAUACUUGAAUAGAUAAAUCAAUAAACUUAUUAGUAAAUUUAGAACAGUGAAAUAAAAUUUUUGGAGUACAUAUCGCCCGUCAGCGCCUAAAGGGUGUAAGUCGUAACAUAGUGGGUUCAUUGGAAGAUUAACCU